AUGAGCUCACUCCGGUUCGUACCUCGCACAGGGGCGGCGGCAAGGCAGCAGGGGCUGUUAAGGUCCAUUAACAAUGCAAGUCCAACUCGUGAUAGUGGAGAAUCAUUGAACCCAAGUGGUCCAAUUCGUGAUGGUGGAGACUCAUCUACUCGAAGUGGUGCAAGAAGGAAGAGAGGGCGCAUGAUGAUGGAAGAUGAGGAUCCAUUGAUAUGCACUGUCACUGAAGCUUUUAAGACUCUUUCAGAUGCAAUCAAGCAGUCAGCACCACAACCACGUCCGAUAAUCCCACCCAACCUAUGGACUAUGAUGAAACAGAUUCCUGUUUUUGAAAGAGAACAUAUAGCACACUACUAUGGCUACUUGUGUGAGAAUCCAGCCCUUGCUUAUGCCUUUCUAGAGAUGGGACUAGAUGAUCAAAUGGGAUUAUUUUGGCCGCCGUCGCUGCCCUUCCUAGUCGCUGUCGCGACCUCAUCUGCUUCCAGAGUCCGGCCUCGUCUGCUUGCAGCGUCGCCGACCAGAUCCACCCGCACGCGGCCGUCCGCGCCUCGUCCAUCGCAGCGGCCGCCCGCACGCGUCCAUGACCUCGUCGGCUUCCGGCGCCGGCCAGAUCCGCCCAGCCUCUCCGCCCCCGCCGACCGCGCUGCAGCCCUCUCCGCGGUGCCUCGGCCCCUCCCGUCGCGGCUACCUCCAGCCGCCGGUCAACCUGCCGACGUGGCCACCUCCGGCCGCCCAGAUCCGCUGCACCACCUCCAGACGCCAGCCGCCGACCGCCCAGACCCCCUGCUCCACCAGGGAGAGUCGCCAGCCGCUACCUCUAGCCGCCGGUCGCAUAUUGCUCCAGUUUGUGAAGCAGCUGUUCAACACAGCUUCUAAGAGAUUAGAGAUUGGGGUAGUUGACUUGACAAACCUCUUUUCACACGAACUGAAAAACUAAUCCAUCAGUAAACCUUGAUGUUUCUGAUGUUGAGAGGCUGAAAGAGCAGUAUGCAUGUUGCACAGAAGAUCAGUUGGCUUUUGAAGGCUAUAGAAAGCUCUUGCCAACCAGAAAGGCACUUCCUGAUGGGCAGGUCAUAACAAUUGAGAAAGAGAGGUACAUUGUUGGUGAAGCUUUAUUUCAACCACAUAUAUUGGGCUUGGAAGAUUAUGGUAUCGUUCACCAGCUAGUUACUAGCGCCUCAAAUGUUUCAUCAGAGUACCAUCGUCAGCUGCUUGAAAAUACCAUGUUAUGUGGUGGCACCACAUCAAUGACUGGCUUUGAGGACAGGUUCCAGAGAGAAGCAAAUCUGUCUGCUUCAGCAAUCUUUCCAUCACUUGUGAAGCCCCCCUGAAUACAUGUCCGAGAACCUAGCAAGGUACUCGGCCUGGUUGGGUGGUGCGAUAUUGGCCAAGGUCGUUUUCCCUGAAAACCAGCAUAUCACCAAGGGCGAGUAUGAUGAGACGGGGCGUCUAUUGUGCACCAGAAGUGCUUUUAGAGACAAACUGCCUUGAACUAGCACGGUUGUGCACCAUUUGCUGCUGUUCAUGUCACAGCUGUGCUCGUACCUGAAUGUUGCAGGUGCCGAUGCUUGAGUCCACUGUACGCCAGCCACAGUUCAUACCGCUAGCCACAGUUCAUACCUGACUGUUGCGAAGUGUUGGUGCAUCUAGGUCGGUUGGGUUUAUUUAGAGUGCAAUAGAGGGUAACAUUGACGUGUAUUCGUUAGGAGUUUUAGCCAAUUGCCCAUUUGCACCUGUAGUAUUAGAGAAUUAGCUGAGAUUUCCUUUUCAACUUACAUUAUGAUCCAUUAUCUCUUCAGCUACUGCUAGUGAAAGAGUUGUUUGGGUCAUGCCCACAAACUAAGCAUGUCACAGGUUCUUAGGCAUAUGUUUUUGUUAGGAGCCAAGUAGCCAACGGCAUCCUCUCCCCCUGCCGGCCAGAGGGUGCACGUAACAUUCCAUCGCUCUUCAACGGCUCCCCCUUGGGAGCACUCUGCAUUGAGAAAGGGGCUUCUCUAGGGUGAAAAUGGGUCGGGUACGCCCUAUGGGUACCGUGUCGGGUACUGAAUGUGAAUACAGAUAGUGUAAAUAUCUGUUUUUUAUGCGAGUUUGAGUAUUUUUA